UGCCCCUGUGUGCCCCCCCGAUGCUCUUCUCCAUUCCUCUAGGUACCCACUGUCCUCAGUUGAUAUGUUCUUCCUGCUCAUAUUUUAAUACAUAAAUUACAUAUGGAUGUAUUUAUAAUCUCUCUUUGCCUUCACGAAUUUUAAAAAAUUAAUGUGAUAUUGUGCUGUAAAUAUUCUGCAACUUGCUUUGUAAUAUUCAAACGUUAUGUUUUAGUAAUUUAUCCGUGCUGAUAACACAGCUCAAGUGCGUUCAUUUUAACUGCUGUGUAGUAUUCCAGCCUCUGAAUACAUCACAAUUUGCCUCUGUGUUUCUCAAUUGAGAGAUGUUCAGGUUGUUGAUACUUUUUUUUCUGAUGACAAAUGAUUCAUCUUUAUACUUUUCUCCUUGGGCACAUAUAGGGGACAUUUGUAUAUCUUCAGUCUUUACCAUAUACUGACAAAUGGCUUUCUAAAGAGGCUAUCUUGUGACGUGGCAGGAAACUUCUAGAGUUGGGAGUCAGGUGACCCAGUUCUGGUCUAACUCUGGCACUGAUUCACAAUGUAAACUUAGGCUCCCCUUCCUUGGACUCAGUUUCUCCAUCUUUAGGAUGAAGGUCAGGACUAGCAGAUGUCCACAGUUCCUUCCUCCUGAGCUGGUUAAAACAAUGUUUUGCAGAAAGAUCUUCUCUUCUAGAAAUAAAAGAAAUCUCCGGAGGCAGGCUUGCUGUAAGCUCCAGAGGAGCGUUAAUGUGGAAGGCAGCUGACACUUUUUGAGCUCCUACCAAGGGUUGGGCACUUUCGUUUCUCAUUUACCUCACACAGGAGAUUAAACAGCUUGCCCGAGAUCACAGAGCGAGGAAGUGUCAGAACCGGGCCUCCAAUCCAGGACUGAGGGAUUCCAGAGCCUGACUCCUGUCUACCGUACAAGCUGCUCUUGCUUUGUCACAAGGCAAGUUCUUACUUGACACCCCCAUCUGGGCUGUUGAAAUGGCAUUCUCCUUGGGAGUCUCCAUGCGCAGGCCAUUGAUGCCAAGGGCCCCUACCCCAGGCAGAGACUGCAGCCCAGGCCCUGCCCCAGGAGUGCAGUGUGAGGAGGGGCUGAGAAAGAGCCCUUCUUUGGAAGGAAGAUAAGGAACAAGUGGGACUGAGUCAGGGACUGGGGCUAUCCCAAAAGCAUGCACUCUAAAGGCAUUUAUCCUCUGACCACAGCUAAUGAACCAAUGAGGAAUCAGCAUCAAUAAGAAGCAAAUUAAACACCAGCUCCAGCUAAUUAGUAAGCACAGCUGCCUGCUUUCCUGCAUUCAAUUUCAGACUCACAUUAUGAAUUGCCUCCCUGGAGAAACCGACCCCCUCCUCCCCAAAAAAGGCCUUGAUUCAAUAAACCAACUUUUAAUGGAGCAGCAUCUUUCAAUCGAAGGACGGCAACUUAUCUCUGGGUCCUCGCUCUGCGGUGACACCAAUUCUCCAAGCUGCCCAAUCUCACUCAAGAGAUAAAUAUAUAGACAUCUCUCUUCAUAUCAAGAUAUGGUUUUUGCGCAUUUGCUUGGAAGAUUUAUGUUGGAAUUAUUUUUUAAGUCUGCUGAACUGAGGAGGCAUGGAAGACAAGCUGCUCCAACCCCUCCUUUGUAGAUGAGGACUCUGAAGUCCAGAGAGGAAGAGUGACCUGCUAAAGGUCACCCAGCAAGUCCAGUGUGCUUCAUACUGAGCAGAAAACCUGCGCUUCUCUCCCUUUCUCAGCCAUGAUGAGAAGGACUCUUGGUAUCAUCUUGGAUCCCUCCCCAAAGAUUCUGGCUCUUUUUGCUGCUGAAAUCAGAAAGAUGAACAAUGAUCGUAUGGUGUAUAGAAUCCAAAACAGCCAGCUUUGCUCUGCUUCCACUAUGAUCAAGCACUUCACAUUCCACAUCAGCUGGACAAAAGACACUGAACCGACACAGCGACAGACUCAUAAACGCUGAAAGAAACCCAAAAUAUCAGGGUCCCCCGUAUAAUAAAUCCUUGAAUACUUCCCUUAAACCGGGACUCUCAACAAAGACGAUUUUAUCCUUGAUUCUUGCUGUGACGAUCUCUGAAGG
ensembl:lncRNA